GGGAAGAUUCCCUGGAGAAGGGAAUGGCCACCCACUCUAGUGUUCUUGCCUGGAGAACUCCAUGGACAGAGGAGCCUGGCCAGGGUACAGCCCAUGGGUUCGCAAAGAGUCGGACACCACUGAGCAACUAUGCUUGCACUGAAGGAGGUCAGGAGGUGAUUCACCAUCAGACCUAAGGAUGAACUUACUAAUAUUAAAAGGACGCAGAGCAAUCAAUAGUAUAUACUACACUAUAUGACAUCAUCAACUCAAUGGACAUGAGGCUGAGCAAACUCUGGGAGAUGGUGAAGGACAGGGAAGCCUGGCGUGCUGACGUCCAUGGGGUCGCAGAGUCAGACAGGACUGAGCGACUGAGCAACACUAAAUUAUACUUGAUGCAGCUGUGAAGUCGAAUUCACAGCCUUCAGCUUUUGAAUUUUUAAUGAAUUGCAGUUAUGAACAUAAAGUGCAAAUAA
ensembl:lncRNA